rnacentral:rRNA from 1 species
AAAUUGAAGAGUUUGAUCAUGGCUCAGAUUGAACGCUGGCGGCAGGCCUAACACAUGCAAGUCGAACGGUAACAGAAAGCAGCUUGCUGCUUUGCUGACGAGUGGCGGACGGGUGAGUAAUGUCUGGGAAACUGCCUGAUGGAGGGGGAUAACUACUGGAAACGGUAGCUAAUACCGCAUAACGUCGCAAGACCAAAGAGGGGGACCUUCGGGCCUCUUGCCAUCGGAUGUGCCCAGAUGGGAUUAGCUUGUUGGUGGGGUAACGGCUCACCAAGGCGACGAUCCCUAGCUGGUCUGAGAGGAUGACCAGCCACACUGGAACUGAGACACGGUCCAGACUCCUACGGGAGGCAGCAGUGGGGAAUAUUGCACAAUGGGCGCAAGCCUGAUGCAGCCAUGCCGCGUGUAUGAAGAAGGCCUUCGGGUUGUAAAGUACU